UGGGGAAUAUUGCGCAAUGGGCGAAAGCCUGACGCAGCGACGCCGCGUGAGGGAUGAAGGUUUUCGGAUCGUAAACCUCUGUCAGAAGGGAAGAAACCGCACUGUGCUAAUCAGCAGUGCCUUGACGGUACCUUCAAAGGAAGCACCGGCUAACUCCGUGCCAGCAGCCGCGGUAAUACGGAGGGUGCAAGCGUUAAUCGGAAUUACUGGGCGUAAAGCGCACGUAGGCUGCUUUGUAAGUCAGGGGUGAAAUCCCACGGCUCAACCGUGGAACUGCCUUUGAUACUGCUUAGCUUAAAUCCGGGAGAGGGUGGCGGAAUUCCAGGUGUAGGAGUGAAAUCCGUAGAUAUCUGGAGGAACAUCAGUGGCGAAGGCGGCCACCUGGACCGGUAUUGACGCUGAGGUGCGAAAGCGUGGGGAGCAAACAGG
rnacentral:rRNA from 1 species